UACGGAAAGAUUUAAGUUUACUGAGUUAGAUUACGGAUACAACAUGGAGGAAAGUGGGUCAGAAAAGUCAACCAGAGAAAAGAAAGACAUAUCCUUUGAAGAUGCUGACAUUCCUUUUGAAGAAGAAAUACUACGUCAUCCUUACAGUGUAAAGUGCUGGAUAAAG